NNNNNNNNNNNNNNNNAGGUCUGGGACUCCUGACCUCAAGUGAUGCACCCACCUUGGCCUUCCAAAGUGUUGGGAUUACAGGCGUGAGCCACCAUGCCUAGCCAAAGACAAUUUUUAAAUUGAUUACAAGGACAUUUAUGCCAACCAGUACAGUGGUCUAAGUUGAAGUUUUGAGUAGGAUAUGAAGUUCUAUUUAGUCCCAUUCGGAGGCAAAAGAGAACUCACUGCAUAAUAGAGUUUCAAGUUCAGAAGGAACUAUAACUAAUGUACUGUCUCUGACCUAUAAUAGGUGCUCAAAAAAUGUAUGUUGAAUUAAUUCAACAAAAUUCCUCUACUUCACCUCAUCAGGUGGUUAUCUAGUGUCUCCUUUACCUCUCCAAUGGGAGCAAAUCUAUAAUUUCCCAAAGCAGAAACAUCUUUACUAAAACUACAAACAUUAGCCGGGCAUGGUGGUGCACACCUGUAAUCUCAGCUACUCAGGAGGCUGAGGCAGGAGAAUUGCUU
rnacentral:lncRNA from 1 species